rnacentral:rRNA from 1 species
AUUGAACGCUGGCGGCAUGCCUUACACAUGCAAGUCGAACGGCAGCACGGGAGCUUGCUCCUGGUGGCGAGUGGCGAACGGGUGAGUAAUACAUCGGAACGUACCCAGGAGUGGGGGAUAACGUAGCGAAAGUUACGCUAAUACCGCAUAUUCUGUGAGCAGGAAAGCGGGGGAUCGCAAGACCUCGCGCUCUUGGAGCGGCCGAUGUCGGAUUAGCUAGUUGGUGAGGUAAAAGCUCACCAAGGCGACGAUCCGUAGCAGGUCUGAGAGGAUGAUCUGCCACACUGGGACUGAGACACGGCCCAGACUCCUACGGGAGUCAGCAGUGGGGAAUUUUCGACAAUGGGGGCAACCCUGAUCCAGCCAUGCCGCGUGAGUGAAGAAGGCCUUCGGGUUGUAAAGCUCUUUCGGCGGGGAAGAAAUGGCAACGGCUAAUAUCCGUUGUUGAUGACGGUACCCGCAUAAGAAGCACCGGCUAACUACGUGCCAGCCGCCGCCGUAACAC